UUCAGUGCAGCUUCAAAGGACUCUACACGAUCCCAGCUGAGGAAUAAGGGUCUUAUCUAGUGAAACAAUCAGCCAUUUUCUAAAAAAAAAUAAUUAAAAAUUGGAUGCUUUUUAGCCAUCUUUAUACUCAUCUUGCACUUGCUCUGCAAUGUGCCACGCAUUAUGUAAUCAUGUUGGAAAGGUCAUGCGUGACAUAGGCAGAAGUACCGACUCAAACGGCCUUUACAAAAAAAAGGUAACGAUGUCGGACGAUUUUGAAGUUGGAGAAAAUGAGAUGGAGUUUUUCGCCCUACCUCAGCCUUUGCAUGACCUUUCCAACUUUGAACAAACGUUCUGUUAAGAACUAGAAGAACAUUUUUUUGAAACUUUGAGAGAAGCUUAGCCGCAAAAUUAGCCAAAGUUAUGAGAACAUUCCCUGCUGCGAUGGUGAUUUUUGUCCCUUUUUGCAAAAACAGGCCCUGGUAAAUGUAUGUUUUGAGUGUGAACUUAUAAAAUAUCUCCUUUAUAGCUUUCCUUGCAAUAAAGAAAGGUGUUUGGAAUGACAUGAAGGUGAGUAAAUGAUAACAUCUAAUUAAUUUAACGGAAUAGUUCACACAAAGUAGUAAACAUUUUAUCAUUUCAUCCUCCUGUUGUUUCAAAACCAUAUAUUUUCCUUCCUUCCUUCUGUUUUUCCAGAAUGUCCAAGCUGGUCUUUGCUACACAAUUAAAAUAAAUAGUGACUACCAAGCUCCAUAUAUAACAAAAAAGCAUAAUAAAAGUGCAAUAAAAGUAUGAGGUGUAGUUGAAAGUCAUCAUUCAAUUAGAUAUCAAAUGUCAUUUAUGUUUGCAUUCGAUUCCAGACAUUUUGUAGCUCAACAUUUUCAUUGUAUGGAAAAAUACAGCUUAAUCAUUCCGCAAAAACAUGGUUGUUUAUUCUCCACAGAAUGCUAAUGACUAGUUUGGACCAGCUAGCAUGCUCCAAGACAGAGCUGUCAGUUUAAACUGUAUAUUCCAGCAGGACAUACACGAUGACGCUUUAAUCACAUUCUGGCUCUUUCUCGUCAACCGCCUGAAGAGUUUUGGACAGUGUCAUUGUUGCCAAGUUAAACAGUGUUUUCUGGGAAAGAACCAAAGAUCUCUGAGCUCCAUGACCAGUAGAUGGCCUCAUAUCCCACAGCACAAGCAAAUGUCAAGACUUACUAUUUUCACCUGGCAAACAAGGAACUCCAAGAGAUUUACAUUGAAGGAAGGAGACGAGACAUAUCUACAGACCCGAAUAUCAUAAUCAAGACUUGGUGCGCUCUUUUAAUUUGGGCCUCUAAGUAACCAACUUGCAGCCACAAAACAGACUUUAAAGGUGCCCUCGAAUGAAAAAAAGAAUUUAUCUUGCCAUAGUUAAAUUACAAGAGUUCAGUACAUGGAAAUGACAUACAGUGAGUC